UUUAACAGCAGUAUGAUAAUUUGUUGGCCAAAAGGCAGUUUUAUUUGACAGAGAUUUUGGAUUUUACAUUUGAGUAGUUGAAGAAUUCAUGAUCUAAUCUAUAUUGUGUAUAUAUAUUUGCUCUGUAUGCAGUUAGUCAACUUAUUUUGAUAUUUUAGUCCGUUUAUGGGUAAUUUGUAAUUCUUGUGUUGUGGUGUACUGGAAAACCUGAUGGAGACCAUCUUCAAUAAAGUCCUGCUGGAUCCAGGUUGUUAUAUGGAGGACCUUGUGAACAUCUCUGUCCCACCAGCCCUCUGAGCAGAAUUUGAGCAGCCUGACAGAAAGGAGGUCAUUAAUGCCAUGCCAAGAUUUAAACAACCAUCAAUAAAAGCUAAGUUGAAAAUGUGUUUGCUCCAAACACCAUUACAACUGAUCUAACUACCUCUACAUAUUGUUUUCGUUUGUGAAGGUUGUGGGAUACAUAGGAAAUACUGGACAAUUCAUUAAUCUACUAUUCUAUUCUCUAUACCUUCUAGAGUGGUGUCAAGGAAAACACCUGCAUCCUCCAUCUGUACAGCAGCUGCACUGCUUCCGAUCAAAAUGUCCUCCAAAACGUGACAAGCACAACAAAGAUCCUCACAUCUCCCCAGCCAACUGCCCAUGACUGUACCUGUUCCACUCCAGAAACUAUGCUUUCAACAUAACUAUGAAUCCUACCCAUUCAUUCCCUGGUCUGCACAUUGAACUGUGAAGGUAUUGCAACGAAAACAGAAAUUUAGUUAUUUCACAGGUGGUCUUGAGUUGCCCUGUUCUGUGGUGGCGCCAUUCAUCACUGUGUAGCGAACAAGACUUUUGCGCAGCCAGCUGACGCUCGCGACAAAACAGAUUAAGGAAAAAAGGUACUUUUAACACAGCGGCACAGCACUUACAGUAGGCCCCAUUCACCUCUUGAUGGGGGGAAGUGUGUUUUACAGGAUAAACAAAUGCAAAAAUAUAGACAUUCCUGCAAUCAAAUUAAACAGCAGCAGUCAGGUCUACAACACUAUAUAAGUGUCCUUCAUGUACAUCAAACACAGAUGAAGAUAUGAUACAAUACACCAUUAGCAUGUAGUUAGCAUUAUAGGCAGCCUUGGGCUAGUUUGCGACACACUUAUGGGUCUACCGCUGUGAUACUUAAUGCAACACACAUAAACAAGGGCUCAAAUGAAAGCUCUAAUCUAAAGGAAUCUAAGGAUAUGCAUAGCAUGCUAGGUAUCACAUUUGUUGAGUUGUGAGCCAAAGAAUGAAAGAUGCUAAGCUAAUCGCUAGGUAAAUAAACAACGUACACAUUCAAAUAUCAUCACACAAAGUCCAUAUUACUGGUGAACGGAUUACAUUCUCUUUUAUUUCUACCUUCUGGGAGGUUACUCACUCACCCUGUUACUCUCUAGUCCACCCACAGAGCUUGUCUGAAAUGAUUUAUAUAUAUUUAUAUACAUUUGCUGACAUUUUUUCAUGAAACCAACUUUUGAUUUUCACCAAUUGUGCUAUGAUUUCAUGAGGAUUAGCAGUUUCAUUAGCCUCUGCUAAUGUGUGUCCACUACAGUAUGACACUAUUUGCAAAGAUAUGUGGUUGCAAAGAUAAAUUCAUCUGAAUGUAGCUAUGCCAUUUUUCAGAAAACCCUCAGAAAAUAAGCUUGAUUUAAGACUCUUCACAUGAUGGAUAAACAGCGUUUGUUACCGGUACUACAUCCGGGACACCGGUGUUUCAUUCUUACGUUCUCCUGUGUCUCUGUAGUAUUUACAAACCACAAGCUGAACUUUGUAUGACUCGCAGGUUAAUGUUGUCUUUGUUUAAUAUUUAAUGCUCAUAUGAAGAAAUUAGGGUGCAGCCUUUCUCCUGCUGCGGCUUGGUUUGUUUUCUCUGGCAUUUUGCCAGCAGCUGCCGUAAAAUGAGCAGCCUGACUAAUCGUUAACGGCAAAUCAUUAUCGAUCAAUUUCCAUCAUCGAUUAUUCCUCGAUUUGUUGUUGCAGCCCUAGCCACAGCAAUGUCAGGGUACCACAAGCAUACUACAGUAAAAAUACCUGCUUAUCAAUAUACAUAGAUUGCAUUGCAUUAUUGAAUGGAUAACUGCAUGGCUGAUUUUGUGUUUCU